AUGUUGAAGGGACCUGCAGUUGGCAUUGAUCUUGAAACUAUCUACUCCUAUGUAGUUGUCUUCCAGCAUGGAAAACUGGAGAUAAAUGCUAAUGAUCAGGAAAAUCAAACCACUCCAAGCUACGACACUUUCACUGAUGCCGACCAACUGAUUAAAGAUGCUGCAAAAAAUCAAGUGGCUAUGAACCCCACCAACACAGUUUUUGAUGCCAAGUGUCUAAUUGGAUGUAGGCUUGAUGAUGCUGUUGUCCAGACUGAUAUGAAGCACUGGCCCUUCAUGAUGGUGAAUGAGGCAGGCAGGCCCAAGUUUUAAGUAGAAUACAAAGGAGAGACAAAGAGCGUCUACAGAGCAGGUGUCUUCUAUAGUGCUGACAAAGAUGAAGAGAUAGCAGAAGUUUAUAUAGGGAAGACUGUUACCAAUGCUGUGGUCACUGUGCCAGCUUACUUUCAUGACUCUCAGUUUCAGGCAACCAAAGAUGUUGGAACUAUUGCUGGUCUUAAUGUACUUAGAAUUAUCAACGAACCAACAGAUGAAGCUAUUGCUUAUGGCUGAGACAAAAAAGUUGGAGCUGAAAGAAAUGAGCUGAUUUUUUUAUUUAGGAGGUGGCACUUUUGAUGUGUCAAUCCUCACUAUUGAAGAUUGAAUCUUUGAAGUGAAAUCUGCAUUUGGAGACACCUACUUAGGUGGGGAAGAUUUUGACAACCUAAUUCUCAAUCAUUUUAUUGCUGAAUUAAGUGCAAACAUAAGGUCGUCAGUGAGAACAAAAGAGCUGUCCACUGUCUUCGUACUGUAUGUGAGUGAACUAAGAGAAUCCUCUCUUCUAGCACCCAAGCCAGUAUUGAGAUUGAUUCCCUCUAAGAAGGAAUCAACUUCUACACCUCCAUUACUCAUGCCCGAUUGGAAGAGUUGAAUGCUGACCUGUUCCGUGGUACUAUGUACCCUGUGGAGAAGGCUCUUUGAGAUGCUAAACUGGACAAGUCUCAGAUCCAUGACAUUGUCCUGGUGAGUGAUUCUACCUGUAUCCCCCAAAUCCAGAAGCUUCUUCAGGACUUCUUUAAUGGAAAAGAAUUGAAUAAGAGGAUCAACCUUGGUGAGGCUGUUCUCAUGGGGCAGCUGCUCAGGCAGCCAUUUUAUCUGGAGACAAGUCUGAAAAUGUCCAAGAUUUGUUGCUGUUGGAUGUCACUCAUCUUUCCCUUGGUAUUGAAACUGCUGGUGGCAUCAUGACAGUCCUCAUCAAGUGCAAUAUCAGCAUUCUUACCAAGCAGACCCGUACCUUCACUACCUACUCUGACAACCAGCCUGGUAUGUUCAUUCAGGUAUAUGAAAGUGAGCGUGCCAUGACCAAGGAUAACAACCUGCUUAGCAAGUUUGAACUCACAGUCAUACCUCCUAGGAAUGCCUGGGGCUUCCCUGGUGGAGGAGCUCCUCCCCCUGGUGGUGUCUCCUUGAAACCCACCACAGAAGAGGUUGAUUAA